rnacentral:misc_RNA from 1 species
AGCGGGUAAUCCCGCCUGACCUGGGGUCGCGUCGAGAGCAUCGUCUUUGUGGACGACGUUCAGAGGGUCGACAUGGGAGUCCUCGCUUGCUCGCUCGCUCGCUGGGAGGAGGUGCGCGGGCUGAGGUCGCGACGCGGUACCGAGGUUGGAUCAACCACCGUAGUGUCGCGACGCCGGCGCCGGGGACUCGAAUUUAAGCCAUCCGCGCGACGGUGCGCACGGGAGGCCAGCGUGUGCCCCCGCCUGCGCAACGAACCCGAGUGGGGGUUGCGUGGGGGGACCGGGGCAAGGGGCGGGGGAAUUUGUUUUAGUUCCUUGGCGCGACCUGCGCCGGGGUUUGGUUUAGGCACCGAGGAGGGGCACGAGUGCUCCCCCCCGGCACGGAAGGUUUGUAAACGCGUUCGCGGGUCGUUUGAUGUUUAGGCAUCGACAAUGAUCCUUCCGCAGGUUCACCUACGGAAACCUUGUUACGACUUCUCCUUCCUCUAAAUGAUAAGGUUCAGUGGACUUCUCGCGACGUCGCGGGCAGCG